GUUUCUUGGGCAUUUUACAAGUGUUCACUUUUGUGGCGGAACUUGUUUCGCAUCGGUAAAAUAUCUAAAAUGCAUUAGGCUGGCAACUAUAACUGUGUAAAAUGCAUUACGCCUUUAUGCGCCUGCAACGCA